CCUACGGGAGGCAGCAGUGGGGGAUAUUGCACAAUGGGGGAAACCCUGAUGCAGCGACGCCGCGUGGGUGAAGAAGCGCCUCGGCGCGUAAAGCCCUGUCAGCAGGGAAGAAAAUGACGGUACCUGAAGAAGAAGCCCCGGCUAACUACGUGCCAGCAGCCGCGGUAAUACGUAGGGGGAAAGCGUUAUCCGGAUUUACGGGGUGUAAAGGGGGCGCAGACGGCGAUGCAAGCCAGGAGUGAAAGCCCGGGGCCCAACCCCGGGACUGCUCUUGGAACUGCGUGGCGAGAGUGCAGGAGGGGCAGGCGGAAUUCCUGGUGUAGCGGUGAAAUGCGUAGAUAGCAGGAGGAACACCGGUGGCGAAGGCGGCCUGCUGGACUGCAACUGACGUUGAGGCCCGAAAGCGUGGGGAGCAAACAGGAUUAGAUACCCGUGUAGUC
rnacentral:rRNA from 1 species